AGCGGCGGAUGGGUGAGUAACACGUGGGGAACCUGCCCCUAAGUCUGGGAUACCAUUUGGAAACAGGUGCUAAUACCGGAUAAUAAAGCAGAUCGCAUGAUCAGCUUUUGAAAGGCGGCGUAAGCUGUCGCUAAGGGAUGGCCCCGCGGUGCACUAGCUAGUUGGUAAGGUAACGGCUUACCAAGGCGACGAUGCAUAGCCGAGUUGAGAGACUGAUCGGCCACAUUGGGACUGAGACACGGCCCAAACUCCUACGGGAGGCAGCAGUAGGGAAUCUUCCACAAUGGACGCAAGUCUGAUGGAGCAACGCCGCGUGAGUGAAGAAGGUUUUCGGAUCGUAAAGCUCUGUUGUUGGUGAAGAAGGAUAGAGGUAGUAACUGGCCUUUAUUUGACGGUAAUCAACCAGAAAGUCACGGCUAACUACGUGCCAGCAGCCGCGGUAAUACGUAGGUGGCAAGCGUUGUCCGGAUUUAUUGGGCGUAAAGCGAGCGCAGGCGGAAAAAUAAGUCUAAUGAGAAAGCCCUCGGCUUAACCGAGGAACUGCAUCGGAAACUGUUUUUCUUGAGUGCAGAAGAGGAGAGUGGAACUCCAUGUGUAGCGGUGGAAUGCGUAGAUAUAUGGAAGAACACCAGUGGCGAAGGCGGCUCUCUGGUCUGCAACUGACGCUGAGGCUCGAAAGCAUGGGUAGCGAACAGGAUUAGAUACCCUGGUAGUCCAUGCCGUAAACGAUGAGUGCUAAGUGU
rnacentral:rRNA from 1 species